UGUAUAUGGUUUACUUUUCAUUGUAGCCAUUUCUUCGUUGCUGCGUGGCUUCGCGUUCUUUGCGUGAACUAGCAUCUUGAAUGAGUCCCGAAGCUUCUUCACCAUCUGUGUGUUGGAUGGGAAGUGUCGGCGGGGGGAUUUAGGUUAAUCGUUCUCGGAAACUGCUACUGAACAGCUCGGUGAUGGUGAUUUGCUUCCUCGAUGUUCCUCUCUCUACCUCCUCCCAUUGUCUCUUUGUGCUGCUCUGAACCCCUCAAAUUAUCAUGAUGGUCACACAAUGCUAUUAUUUCAUGAUCAGAUCAAUUCUGCAAAGUUUAUUAUAUUUUUUGCAUCUACAUGCCAGAUGAAGUAUCAGUUACUUUUGAAUUAUUAACAAAGAAUACUCUGUAGGGCUCAUUUGGUUGCUUGAAGUUAGAAUAUAUGAUUUCUCUGAAGUUCCACUAAUGAAAUGGUAAUAUUUUGAUGCAUUAAACAAGUUAAAAUAAAAUUAUCAUUUUUAUUAUCUUCAUUAACAUAAUUUUUGUGAUGAGGUGUAAGAUGAUAAAAUAAAAUUGUCAUGAUUUACAUGAAGUGGUGGGAGAAGCAUUUGACUAUAAUGAUUGCAAUUAGGUUUAAUACCUGUGGUCCGGUGAUCAAUCAUUUCCUACUUAAAGGAAUUUUUAAUAAAUAUUUUAGGGCUUGGUGGUGCUUGAGGAGGAUUUUGAUAGGGAAGGAUCUCAUGUUAGUGCCAUAAGCUAUAGGGUUGCAAUUGUUUAAGUGUUGAUUGGCAACAAUAUAGCCGAGAGUUGCAUUUAGAUAAAAAAUUUCCCAAUGUAUUUUGUCCUGACUUAUUAUUGUGGGUAUGUCUAAUAAAAUUUUUUGCACCCUUCUCUUGAUGUUGAAGAUUAAAUGCUAACGGCGAUGAUGAUCACUUGUCGCACUCCUUAUAGAAUUUCUCAAAGCAACAUUAUGAACCCUUGUAAAGAACUUUUGUUCUGUUGUUUGUUGUCAUGCUUCACAUUAUAAAGGUGCUACGUGAGGAAAGAAUUUCUCUUUACCAUAAAUUUGAAGUUGGUUUUGUAUGAACAUGAUUUGUUCAUCCAUCAUGUCCUCUUUUAUGGAAUCUCUUGUAGAAUUUAUGUCCAGAUGAUGGAGUUUUAUUGCUCUGAGGAGUGAUGCCUCUUGAAGAGGUGUAGUAUCAUAAUCUCUUGUUAUGAAAAAAAAAAAAAACUACGAAAAAAUAUUUAUAAUUUUCAGAAGGAUAUCCUAUCAUUAGCUUUAUCUCUACCAUGAAAUAGUGUUUGGAGGGCUUAAUCAUAUGACAAUUAUCAUGAUUAAUGACAUACAAAUAACAUGCGAUAGUGUGUUGAUGUCUCUUUGUAGUUAGAAUUUGUUAUGGAGUUGGUAAUGAUGAUUCAGAAUUUAGCCGUCGGUUGCAUGUGGUUGCUAUGGAAUAUCUCUAUAUUUCCUAUGAUAAUGAUGUAGCAUGUUUUGAUGGUGUGAAGCUUCUCAGGCAAUCACAAUCAAUGGCCAUUACCAAGGGGAUCUUGUAUAGCUUUUCAUAGAAAGCUAUGAUCUUGUAUGGAUUUUCAUAGAAAGUUGCGACGCAUGUCCUAUUUAAUGUUUUCAAUGUCAUUUAAGUUCUCACUUUUUGAUUGGUUCCUCCAUUUAUGCUUCUUUUUUAAUGGUCUACAUUUUGUGUCAUAAAGCAUUACAGGUCUCACAAACCAUCUUAUAGAAUUUUCCCUUUAAAUUUGAAGGGUACUUUUCUUUCACACAAUAGGCCCGAUGCAAUCCUCCAUCACUCUGAACAAUAUACACGAGAUAUCUAAAAUGUGUACUCUUAUUAAUGGCUUGAUCACCAAAAGUCACAAUCCCCCCAUUAAAACUACUAAAAUCAUGCUCAAUGUAUUCUAUUUUAGAUAUGCUCAAACAAAAACUUUUAGACUCUAAGUUGAUCUCCAUAAUUCAUGUUUUUAUUUAGCUCCUUCUUUAGUCUUAUUAACAUGAAGAAUAUAAUCAGCAAAAAAAAA